GGGAAUGAUCUGCAGCAAAGAGCCCACGAGGAAUCAAACCUUUGUAACGAUAUACAGGCUUAACCAGGCUGCAGAGAGGAUCCUCCCAAUCCACAGUGAAGAUGGUCAACAUGCGAGUCCUCAAGCAGAACUUCCUGAACAGCUCCGUUUCCUGAACUGUGUGUCCGUGUGAGACCCUAUGACUCGUUAUGAUCAAGUGGCUAAUCUUUUCAUGUUUAUUCAUGAUAUACCUUCAUGUCCACAUGCUGUUUCUUCAAGAUCUCAACAAUGCCUUGUGAGUAUACGGUUAAGUUAUUGGAUCAGUGCAACCUGUUUCUCACAUAGAAUGUUAGUUUCUUAAGGUUUAUCAACGAUGGUCUGUAUCUUGAUUUACAAUAGGCGUUAUUUGAUAUUUCCAUUGUAAUUUACAAUAAGUGAAUGUUGACUGUAAAAUCUAUGCCAACCAAUUGUAAUACGUUGUACCAUAUUUUUUGCAACGGAAUUUGGGCAACUGCUGGCCAUUUACUUUGAACUUGGUAAUAAAAUACCGUAACUCAUA